rnacentral:pre_miRNA from 1 species
CGAACAUCCGGGCCGUCUUGGUCUACCGAGCAAUUACACCCGCUCGGUGGAAGAUCCUUCCUUUCGUCGU